rnacentral:rRNA from 1 species
UAAGACGAAGGAUGCAAGCGUUAUCCGGAUUCAUUGGGUUUAAAGGGAGCGUAGGCGGCCUUAUAAGUCAGUGGUGAAAUCUCGAGGCUCAACCUCGAAAUUGCCAUUGAUACUGUAGGGCUUGAGUACAGUUGCCGUUGGCGGAAUAUGACAUGUAGUGGUGAAAUACAUAGAGAUGUCAUAGAACACCGAUUGCGAAGGCAGCUAACGAAGCUGUAACUGACGCUGAGGCUCGAAAGUGCGGGGAUCAAACAGG